UCCAAGUUGCAACAUCUAGCUACUGGGGUGCCUCAGGGCUCAGUUCUUGGACCACUUCUCUUCUCUUUGUCUACAUGGCAUCACUAGGUUCUGUCAUUCAGAAACAUGGCUUUUCAUAUCACUGCUAUGCUGACGACACUCAACUCUAUCUCUCAUUCCAUCCUGAUGAUCUGAUGAUAGCUGCUUGCAUCUCAGCUUGUCUAACAGACAUUUCUUGCUGGAUGAAGGACCAUCACCUUCAACUCAACCUGGCUAAGACAGAACAGCUUGUGGUUCCAUCAAACCGAUCACUUCAUCACAAUUUCACCAUCCAGUUAGACACAUCAACCAUCACUCCUUCAAAAACAGCCAGAAACCUUGGAGUUAUGAUUGUUGAUCAGCUGACUUUCUCAGACCACAUUGCUAAAACUGCCUGGUCCUGCAGAUUUGCUUUAUUCAACAUCAACAUCAAGGGAAGCAUGUUCCCUUUCUUUCGGAACAUGCUUCACAACUCCUUGCUCGAGCUCUUGUUCUGUCCAGGCUGGACUAUUGCAAUGCUUUCUUGGCAGGUCCUCCAGCCAGUUCUAUUAAACCUGUACAAUUAAUCCAGAACGCGGCAGCAAGAUUAAUUUUUAAAGAGCCGAAAAGAACGCACGUCACACCUCUGUUCAUCAAUUUGCACUGGCUACCAAUAGCUGCUCACAUAAAAUUCAAGGCAUUAAUGUUUGCCUACAAAAUCACCUCUGGCUCUGCACCCCUUUACUUAAAUUCAUUACUUCAGACUAGGGGUGGCUCGAUACCACUUUUUCAGAACCGAUACCGAUCCGAUACCAAAAAUUCUGAGUAUCUGCCGAUAGCGACAUCGAUCCGAUACCCGAGUAGUUUUUUUUUUUAAAUCAGUGUUGAAUUUUUAUACUUCAAUGUGUGUUGACCUGAUCAUUACUUUGUGUGCCAGUUUUAAUUUUCAGUUACUGUGCUCGUUAAGAACAUAGUGCUCUCUAGUCCAGUGUUGUGAUCUAACAGACACAACACGACUUUGAAAACAGCACGAAGAUAAAGUCCUGCAAGAUAAAGUUAUUUUAUGCAAAACCAUUUAUCUUUAUUUACAGAUCAAGUAUAAUAUUAGAAACAUCUAAUAAUCUUGCAUAGAUUUUCAUCGUCUUGACUUGUAACCGAACGCGGCACGCAGUUUGAGUACUGAAGAUUCAAAGAUUCAAGAUUCAAAACGUUUAUUGUCAUAUGCACAGUGAGGAAAAAGUGUCAUAUGCACUGAAUGGAGGAUUACAGACAACCACAGUGGAGAGAAGAGUUUACGUGAACUUGACUUAAAUAUUCAUCUGUCAGUGACUAAUGCCUUACGGUUUUUUGUUUACUUCAUCAGCAGCUCGCGCAGUGUUGGUUGCUUGGUAACAGACCUGAGAGUGGAUUGUCGAACUUGAUAGUGUAAUUUAAGAUUUCAUAACUAGAGAUAAGAUAUAUUUUUCAAAGAUAGGAUACGAAUCCCAAAUCAAGUUAAGAUUUGUUUCUGUAAUACGAGUUUGCGAAAAAUCCUAAUUUAACACAUCAUAUCUUAAAUUAAGACCUAAGAUAAGAAACUUUGUAAUACGCCCCCAGAUCAAUAAACAAGUAAUGUUUGAUUUUGCUCUAUAUCAUCGACGAGAAUAGUUCUAAAUAAAGUGACAGCUGAGCCGCUGCACAUCUCUAAAAGUGUGUUUUUGAACGAAUCUAGUGAGUCAGUGAUUCAUGAUUACUCCUUCAUAAAGACUGUCACUUCUUGCUUCAUUCCUGAAUGAAUCAGCCGUUCGAAUGAAUCAAUUGAAUGAAUGAUUCAGUGAUAAAAUCAGUGACUUGCCGCCACCUGCUGGUGGUUUCAGUUUCAUUUUUAUUUAAUUUAAUUUCAGUUAUUUAAAUCAUUUAAUAUUUCUGUAUUCAAAAUUUUAUAUUUAAAACUCUAAUCUCCACAUGAAUCUAUGAAUUUAAUUGAAUUCAUGCCACAUCUGAGCCUCUGAAAAUGUACAAACCACUUUUGUGUUCUUCUGUGCCACCUCUGUAGUAUGAAUUAAUGUUUUAUUAAUACUAAUUUCAAUGUUUCAUUGGUAACUUAUUUGUCUCAUUCUACUUCUUAUUAUGGUUUUAAAUAGAAAUUUUAAAAAGCUUAUGACCAUAUUUUUUUAAUUUGACAAAGAUGAAAAUGAUGCCAUUGCAAAGGUAAAAGAAAAAUACCCCUGUAAGUCACUUCAAGGAGUCAAAUGUCACCUCGUAUUAGGAAGGAUAAUUUUGUAUCAGAAUUUGAGUAUUGAUCUGAAGGUGCACCUAAUUUUUUUUAAAUUAGGAGGACAAGCGCUCCUAAAAAGAAAAGACAGCAUAGAACCAUGUGUAACAUUAUUAGAUCUGUGCAUGAGGUCUUAAAGAGACAGCAGCCUAAAUAAACCUGCUGCUGCCUUUCAUUAUGCAGUGAAGACUAUCCAGUGUUAUUUUACAGUUGAAUAGAUUAUAGUUAGACCUAACUGAAAAAAAAUGUGAGUACUAAUAAUUUAACUUAUCUUGUUCUUGUUUUUGUUUGUGCUAUUGGUUGUAAUUCAUUUAUAUGUUCUUAUUAUUUACUAUUUACUUGUCUUUUUUUAGUUAUGAUAAAUUCAAUUUUGAGUGCAGGUGAUUGUUGGCUGGUGAGGGGGUGUGGUCCAUGGGAAAUAGUCCUGCCACCACAGCUGGAACCAAUGUCUAGCUGGUUUGAGGAGGUUGAACGUAUAAUUCUUCAGGCAUUGCCCAGCCUGUCUUCUGACAUUCUGCAACAGAUCGUUUCCAGUCUUCAAAGCUCAGGACUCCAAUGCAAAGAAGACCUCAAAUAUGUUCAGCAAGAAGACCUUAAGGAUAUUUUACCUGUAAUUCAAAUCAGAAAGCUUCUUCAAAUUUUUAAAUCAGGUCUUUAUUAACCCCCGGAGCCGUGUGGACUACGUUUACGAUGGAUGGGUGUGUAUGGAAGCACUUUCUUCAGCUCAUACUCAUGAACUCUGCCAUUAUAAAGCUCGGAUGCAUCAUGAUAUUUAUUAAAGUAUUUCUGAUUGUGUUGAUCAGAAAGAAGAAAGUCAUAUAUACCUAGGAUGGCUUGAGGGUAUGGCAGAGGAGACAAAUGCUGUAAGAUGGAUGAUAAGCCUAGAGGGCCAUGUCAUUUGUGAUUGUGUCCAGUCACCAUUUGUCACUGCACUUGCUACGCUGUUUGCUGUGUACUACGUAUUCAACCUGCAGUAUCAAGAGGAGGCUUCUUGCACAUUGGAGUUUCUUCAGAAACGCUUUGUUGGAAUAAACCCAGAAAGAGGCUCAAAGACCGGCAGAGGCAAGGUGGUGAAUAAAAAGUCUGCAACAGUUAAUCCAAAGGUUGCCUCUCUCCUGAAAAAUCUUGUGGAUUUCGAAUGGGAUUUCAUCUAGACUAUACCUGCAUCAGUUUGAAGAUUCUGGAAUAUUUUUGGCCUGUUCCUGUUCCAGUUACUUGCCAGAUUUUGACUUGGAUUGACUAUUAAACUAAAAUCUUCAAUACUUUUCCUUAAAGGCUGUUUUUAGGGGAAUGUACACCCCAAGCAUGUUCUUGGCCUGUUCCUGUACCAAAUUCAGGUUUUGACUUCUAUUGACUUUUGACUAAGAUCAACUUCAAAGGUUUUCACAUUGUUUACUAAAGGCUGUUUUUAGGGAAACACAAAAAGACUGAUUAUUCUAUUUGUUCAGUUAUGAUUUGCUUUUUUGUUAAAGUAUUCAGAUUAUUUUGUCAAUAAAUUUUGU